rnacentral:misc_RNA from 1 species
AGGCCAGUGGCAUCGGCUCAGA